rnacentral:rRNA from 1 species
AGCGAACGCUGGCGGCAGGCCUAACACAUGCAAGUCGAACGGACCCUUCGGGGUUAGUGGCGGACGGGUGAGUAACACGUGGGAACGUGCCUUUAGGUUCGGAAUAGCUCCUGGAAACGGGUGGUAAUGCCGAAUGUGCCCUUCGGGGGAAAGAUUUAUCGCCUUUAGAGCGGCCCGCGUCCGAUUAGCUAGUUGGUGAGGUAAUGGCUCACCAAGGCGACGACCAGUAGCUGGUCUGAGAGGAUGACCAGCCACAUUGGGACUGAGACACGGCCCAAACUCCUACGGGAGGCAGCAGUGGGGAAUCUUGCGCAAUGGGCGAAAGCCUGACGCAGCCAUGCCGCGUGGAUGAUGAAGGUCUUAGGAUUGUAAAAUCCUUUCACCGGUGAAGAUAAUGACUGUAGCCGUAGAAGAAGCCCCGGCUAACUUCGUGCCAGCAGCCGCAGUAACAC